UGAAAUUCAUUAUGAGGGGUGGUGGUCAACUUAAAAAGAAGCCAUUCAAAGCUAUACUAUGUAAUUCAAGUGGACUUCUCUACUCUUCAUAGAAGAUGAAGACUUGCCAUGAUCAAGAAUACCAGCUAUUUGCUGAAGUUCAUCUUUCAAAACGAACAGCAUGGAGUACAGUACUCAUCAGAUGCUGUGAACAGGUGUAGCCCAAAUGCAACAGAUUCAGACUUUGAUGCAGCAAUGGCAGAUCACCUGAACCACACUGGGGUUGAUGGAUACUUGUUUUAUGGCUGUUUUAACAGUAAUACAAGACUGUUAGGAAAUAAUUUGGUAGUGCCAUAGCUCUGACUUUUAACCAUUAAUGGUGGAACACAUGAAUCACACUCCCGGAAGAGCCGGUGGUCGGGGAC